UCCUCAAGUCCUUUCUCUACAUCUGCAUCUUUAUUCUUGCCCUGUCACUGGGUUCAUCAGUACCAUUUUUUAGAUUCCAUACGUAUGCAUUAGCAUACAGUAUUUGUUUUUCUCUUUCUGGCUUACUUCACUCUGUAUGACAGACUCUAGGUCUAUCCACCUCAUUACAUGUAGCUCCAUCUCAUCCCUUUUUAUAGCUGAGUAAUAUUCCAUUGUAUAUAUAUGCCACAUCUUCUUUAUCCAUUCAUUUGUUGAUGGGCAUUUAGGUUGCUUCCAUGUCCUCCUCCUCACUUUUUAUUUUGCUGUCUCCUGCUGUGGAUUACUACACCUUAUUCUGGAGAAAACAAAAAAGGCAGGUUUUCAAAAGUCAGGAAAUAGCGUAAAUGUUAUUUCCAGGAAAGACCUUGUAUUCUAUCUCCUUUCAACUUCCUCACAUAACAUAGAAUCAGCUAGACUCUUCCAGAGUCACAAAGCAGUUCUGUGGAAAUCAGAAAAGAAAACCAAGUCCUUCCUUCACACUUUAGAACUCUUUGCAUAUCACUGCUGACUUUGGAUGGACUUCACUGCAUGGAUUACCUUGAAGACGUCUUCUUUCUAAAAAUCCAUCCUCUCCUUUAAAGACUUGAUGAAUGACAUUUAUGAAGGCCAUAAACAGUGCCUAUACCAGCUUACAGGAGCACGGAUGCACUACAGAGACCCUGCCUUGGAGGCUGGGAGGUUGGAUGUGAGGGCAUCUCUGCCUGAUUCUGAGGAAUUUUUACAACAUUUUCAGUGAGAUACUUGAGCCAUCUUUCCAAGAGCUUUACUGCUUAACCACGGACCACAGCAAAACUCACAGGAAAUUGUUUGGUUGAUGGAUGUCAGAGACGGAUCACAUCCCACAGAGAUGCCUAUAAUGAUGAUGGUGAUAUUAAAAUUUGAAAUCAAAGCUAACCUGGGAGUACGCUUAUGGUUGUUGAGUGUUUUCACCAUGAAAGACUUGGAUUUUGAAAAAUGCUUUUUCUGUAUCUACAUUGUACAGAUGUGAUCAUUUCAACGGAUGUCGCUUCAAGUUCACUGACUCUUUCCUCCACCAACUCGGAUAUGCUUUGGAACCCCUCUAGUGGGCUUUCCAGUAUAGUUACUGUACUUCCCAAUUACAGAAUUUCUAUUUGGUUCUUUUUUAUAAUUUCUGUAUGUAUAUAUAUGGUGAUAUAUCAUUCGCAUGCUGCUUUUAAUUCUUUAAACAUAGUUUCCUCUAGUUCAUUGGACAUAUUUAUAAUAGUUGAAUUAAAGUCUUUGUCUAGAAAACCCAACAUCUGUGUUUCCUCAGGGACUGUUGUGAUGAUUACUUUUUAAAUGUUUUUUAGCCAAUACUACAGACUAGUGGGGAAAUCUGAUCACCAGCUGGAAAUUUGAUGAUAGUAGGAAAUAUAAAAUUAUGAAUCAUGGUUAAGUGAACACACAUGUAGGAUUUUUAUGUCUUCCUGGUAAAUUAACAUUUUGUCCUUUUGCAAUGUCUCACUUUAUCCCUUUAAUUUUCCUUCUCCUAAAGUUCACUUCAUGCAAUAGUAAUAUAGUCACUCCAGCUUUCUUUUGCUUAGUGUGUGUGUGGUAUAUCUCUUCCAUCUCUUUCUAUCCUUUGCACUUUUAACCUCCUGUAUCAUUAUACUUACAGUGGGUUUCUUGCAAACACCAUAUAUUUGAGUCUUAAAAUUUUUUUUAAUCUGGUUUUUCAUUCUUUAUCUUCCACUUGGUGUGUUUAGAUGAUUUAAAUUGAGUGUGAUUAUUGAUUUUGGGGAGCUUCUACCAUUUUAUUUCUUUCCUGAGUGUCACCUCUUUUAUUUGUUUCUCUGAUUCCUCUUCCUUGCUGUAAGAGACUGAACAUUUGUGCCUCCCCCUACACACACAAGUUCAUAUGUUGAAGACCUAAGCUCGAAUGUGACUGUCUUUGUAAAUAAGGCCUUUAUGGAAGUAAUUAAAGGUUAAAUGAGGGCAUAAGGGAGGGGUCCUAAUCCAGUGGAAUUAGUGUCCUUAUAAGAAGAGACACUCAUAAGGAGCUCACUGUCUCUCCCUCUCUCCACAGAUGCACAGGGAAGCAUCCUGUGAGCACACAGUGGGCUGGAGGCUGCCUGCAUCCGGAGAAGCCUCUCACCAGGAUGGAGUCUGCUGGCACCUGGAUCAUGGAUAUCCAGCCUCCAGAACUGUGGGAAAACAGAUGUCUCUUGCUAAGGCCCCCAGUCUCUGGUUCUGCUGUGGCUGCCCAGGCAGAGCCAUCCAUUUGCCUUCUUUUGGUUUUUGCUCAUUUGAGUUUUAUUUAAUAUUUCAUUUUAACAUAUCUAUUUUUUUUCAGUGACAUCUCUUUUCAUUUUUUUAAAAAUGGUCAAUCCAUGGGAUUAAAAUAUACGUGUCUAACAUCACAGUUUUCUUCGUUAGUAUUUUCUCUACCAAGUCAAACACAGAAGACUUACAACCAAGUAGAAUUGUUCAGACUCCCCUUGGUGUUAUAGUUUCCGUGUGUAUUACAACUGCAUAUAUUGAACCUUCCCCAGGCAAGGUUAGAAUUUUUACUUUCCAAAGUCAUACAUAUUUUAAAGAUUUUAGCAGUGGAACAACAUUCCUUUCCUUUAACCCAGAUAUUUACUAUGUCUGUUGCUUUUCCUUCAUUCCAGAACUGUGAAGAUUCCUCCUGAUAUCAUUUCCUUUCAGCCUAGAGGUUUUUAGAUUCUUUAACAGCUGUUCCGCAGGAGAUGAUUUAUGUUAGAUGUGUUCUACCUGAAACUGCAUUCUGCACCCUGGUCACCCUCAUCCCAUGCCUUUCCUGUGUCUCACCCACAGUGGGCCCUUUCUUUCACGUUCUUUAUUCUCAUCAGCAAAAUAGCCAACCUUUAUCCUUGGGAGUCCUGCUCUACGGCUUUCUUUCCCUCACCUAAGUUCUAGUAUCAUACACGUCAGUGAUUCCUGUUGAUUUAACACAUACAUCUUUCUCAGAUAUACCUGUUCUUUUUUCUUCUAUAUGACAUUGCAAAAUAAAGAAUCUAGAGAGUAUCUCUGCUUCCAAUCUUGCCCCCCUCAAACCUGUCAAACACAGUAGCAUCUCAAUAAUAUUUUUUAAUUUGAAAUUUACCCAAGUCUUCUCAUUCUUAAAACCUUUCAUUGGCUCCCUGUUGACUGCAGAUAAAAUGCAAAGCCUUAUCAUGGUAUCAAGUCUUACAAACACAUCACAAUUCCAUUGCCCCUAAUAGGCAAUAUGUUUCUUGAAGUCAUGGCUUGUGUUGUAUUUUACUUUUUUUUGGAUUCUCUAUACCUAGUAUAAUUAUUGGUACAAUGUAGAUACUUACCAGUAUCAAUAUUUCCUGAGCUGGAAAUCUAAACUUUUCCCCAAGUUUUACCAAUAAUACAAGUAACCUCAUUUAAGGCAAUUAAUGCAUCCUAUUUUUCAGUCCAAUUAUUUUUGUUGACUUACGUGCUUGUAUACCUUAAUAAGCUGUAGGCUGUCUUAAUACAGAAACUUCCUCUUCAUUUCACUGCACUUUGCCUAUAGUGGUUAGGGUCUUCCCUUAUAACAAAUUGACAAUCAAUAGAUAUCCUAUAAUUAUAUUGUGAAAUAAAAGGAGAUAUUCAAUGAUAAAUUUCUUUUGAUAUUAUAAAAAUUCUGUAUUUCAUUCAUGCUUGUAUUAUCAUAUGAUAUAUUUUUAUAUGGAAAGUGUUUUCCUCCAUAGAGUAAUAUGAGCAAUUAUCUGUUUUUUUAAAAAUCACAAUUAAAAAGGCAGAAAUGCGACAUAUGUGACAUAUUUCAGAGACAAAACUCUUGUCAUAUUCUCCAGUCUGUUGAUUCACCAAUGUAAAAAAUAUAUGUAUAUUAGAUAACAAGGUGAAAAAUAUUAAAUUAGCCCUGCUGAAAUAUAACUUAGCAAUCACCAAGUCUAUACAUUCAAUAUCUGACAUCAAAAUCUUUAAAUGAAUAUCCCUUAAUAGAUAUUUAUGGAUACUUUCUAAUUAUAAUAUUCUCCAAAAAUAA